CCCUCUUUCAAUUAAGGAGACAGAUAAGCAGUUGUCUUGAGAAUAUAAGGUCACUGGCAUUCCCUAAAUGGAUUCCAGUGCCUGCUACAGAAACAAGUGGAAGAUUAGCCUGAGCUAACAUCUGCUGCCAAUCCUCCUCUUUUUGCUGAGGAAGCCAGGCCCUGAGCUAAUAUCUGCGCCCAUCUUCCUCUACUUUAUAUGUGGGUUGCCUACCACAGCAAGGUUUGACAUGUGGUGCUGUGUCCGCACCUGGGAUCCAAACCAGCGAACUCCGGGCCGCCGAAGUGGAACGUGUGAACUUAACCGCUGUGCCAAUGGGCCGGCCCCCUUGGCAAUGGUUUCUUAAAUACAACACCAAAGUCAUAAGGAACAAAAGAAAAAGUAUAUAAAUUGGAGUUCUUCAAAACCAAAAUCUUUUGUGCAUCAAAGGACACUACCAAGAGAGUGAAAAGGUAAGCCACAGAAGGGGAGGAAAUGUUUGCAAAUCACAUUUUUGAUGUGUUCAAUAUUCAGAAGUUUUAAAGAACUCUUACAACUCGACAACUAAAAAGGUUCGUUCCUUGUAAAACUCUCAGAAUACUAGAAAUACAAAGAAACUUCCUCAAUUUGAGAAAAGGUGUCUACGAAAACUCGGUAGAUAACAUCACAGUUAGUGGUAAAAAACCGAAUGCUUUGCUCUUAAGAUCAGGAACAAGAUGAGGAGGUCUGCUCUUUCCACUUCGAUUCAUCGUUGUACUGAUGUUCCAGCAAGUGUAAUAAGGCAAGAAAUAAAAGGCAUUCAGAUUGGAAGGAAAGAAGUAACACUGUCUUUAUUCACACACAACGUGAUCAUCUAUAUAGAAGAUCUUAAAUCUACAAAAAAGUUUCUAGAUAUAAUAAGCAAGUUUACCAAGGUUGUAGGAUACAAGAUAAAAAUAGAAACAUCAAUGUUCCUUCUAUAUACUAGCAACUAACAAUUAAAAAUUGUAUUUAAAUAAAGCAAUACUAUUAGCAAUACAUUAAAAAACGUGAAAUACAUAGGUGCAAAUCUAACAAAGAUGUUCAAGAUCUGUAUAUUGUAAAUUACAAAACAUUACUGACAGAAAUUAAAUAAAUUAUAAAUAAAUAGAUACAUGAUGUUCAUAUAUUAGAAGACACAAUUUGGUCAUUUUGUCAAUUUUCUCCAAG
rnacentral:lncRNA from 1 species